UUCAGGGGUAAACCUGAGAAGCCCGAAAGGUCGAAAGGGGAAAUUCAUUCGCGUUUCGGCCGUCGGCGUUGGGUGGUGUCGCGUGACGGACGGCGUACGCGUCGUCCGCACCUGCCGUCCUUCGAACCGACGUCGAACGCGUGCACUUUUCCCCUAGUAGGACGUCGCGAUCCGUUGGGUGUCGGUCUACGGCUCGCGGUGGAGCCCGUGCGGUCGUUUCGCGACGUAUCGCACGGACCCGCGAUGUUCCGGCCGACUCGCUCGACGGUAUAAAGAUGGCGCGGGGCCGCUACACUCUUACAGUUAGCGUUCGGCCCGCGGCAAGCACGUUCGGUGUUUUGACGGCGAUCGGACCUGGCGCCGAUUCCGUCCCCGAACGACUGUUGGCUGCGGUGUUUUCUCGAACAGACCUCGUUUGAAACGCCGAUCUGCGACGCUAUAGCUUUGGGUACUUUCAGGACCCACGGACCAAGGAGUCUAGCAUGUGCGCGAGUCAUUGGGACAUAACUAAACCUAAAGGCGAAAUGAAAGUGAAGGUCCGCCUUGCGCGGAUCGAGGGAGGAUGAGCGGUUGAAAGCCCUUAAAGUGGCCGCUCCGCACUCCCGGGGCGUCUCGUUCUCAACGCGAGAAGAGGCGCACCAAGAGC
rnacentral:rRNA from 1 species